UGCAGAAAUGCUAUGAUGAUGGGAGAAAAAGAAAAGCCUGUACUUUGGAAAGUUGGGUGCCACCUUUAUAGAAUUGUAUUCUGUCCCAGUUUUUUGUCAGCUUUUGUUUGUGUACCUUGUCCUGUGUACCAGCUCUUUGAUCGUGUUCAAAAAAGUUUUCCCCAUCCUAUUGAUAAGUGGGCAAUAGCUGAUGCCCAGUCUGCUAUUGAGAAGAGGAAAAGAAGAAAUCCGUUAUCUCUCCCAGUAGAAAAAAUCCAUCCCUUAUUAAAGGAAGUCCUAGGCUACAAAAUUGACCACCAAGUAUCUGUUUACAUAGUGGCAGUAUUAGAAUACAUUUCUGCAGACAUCUUAAAAUUGGUUGGGAAUUACGUGCGAAAUAUAAGACAUUAUGAGAUUACAAAACAAGAUAUUAAAGUGGCAAUGUGUGCUGAUAAGGUAUUAAUGGAUAUGUUCCAUCAAGAUGUAGAAGAUUUAAGUGCACUAACUUUAUCUGAUGAGGAACCCUCCACCUCAGGGGAACAAACUUAUUAUGACCUAGUGAAGUCAUUUAUGGCAGAGGUUCGACAAUAUAUAAGGGAACUAAAUCUCAUUAUCAGAGUUUUUAGAGAGCCAUAUGCCUCCAACUCCAAACUAUUUUCAUCUCAUGAUGUAGAAAAUAUAUUUAGUCGUAUAUCAGACAUUCAUGAACUUAGUGUGAAGUUAUUGGGUCAUAUAGAAGACACAGUUGAAAUGACAGAUGAAGGUAGUCCUCAUCCGCUAGUAGGCAGCUGUUUUGAAGACAUGGCAGAGGAGCUAGCAUUUGAUCCAUAUGAAUCAUAUGCACAAGAUAUUUUGCGACCUGGUUUUCAUGAUCAUUUUCUAAGUCAAUUGUCAAAGCCAGGAGCAGCGUUUUAUUUACAGUCAAUAGGUGAAGGCUUUAAAGAAGCUGUUCAGUAUGUUCUACCCCGGCUGCUCCUUGCCCCUGUUUACCACUGUCUUCAUUAUUUUGAACUGCUAAAACAAUUGGAAGAAAAAAGUGAGGAUGAAGAUGAUAAGGAGUGCUUAAAGCAAGCAAUAACUGCCCUGCUAAAUCUUCAAAGCAGUAUGGAACGGAUAUGCUCCAAAAGUCUUGCAAAACGAAGGCUUAGUGAAUCUGCAUGCCGAUUCUAUACUCAGCAGAUGAAGGGGAAACAGCUAGCAAUUAAGAAAAUGAAUGAAAUCCAGAAAAAUAUUGAUGGUUGGGAGGGUAAGGACAUUGGACAAUGCUGUAAUGAGUUCAUCAUGGAAGGAACACUUACACGCGUAGGAGCUAAGCACGAGAGACACAUAUUUCUGUUCGAUGGCUUGAUGAUUUGCUGUAAGUCAAAUCACGGCCAGCCAAGACUUCCUGGUGCUAGCAAUGCAGAAUAUCGUCUAAAAGAAAAGUUCUUCAUGCGAAAGGUACAAAUCAAUGAUAAAGACGACACUAAUGAGUACAGACAUGCUUUUGAAAUCAUCUUAAAAGAUGAGAACAGUGUUAUUUUUGCUGCUAAAUCAGCUGAAGAUAAAAACAACUGGAUGGCAGCAUUGAUAUCUUUGCAAUAUAGAAGCACGCUGGAAAGGAUGUUGGAUGUAACAAUGCUGCAGGAAGAAAAAGAGGAGCAGAUGAGAUUUCCAAAUCCUGAGCUUUAUAGAUUUGCAGAACCCGAUUCGGAAGAGAAUAUUGUGUUUGAAGAAAACAUGCAGCCCAAAUCUGGAAUCCCCAUCAUCAAGGCAGGAACUGUUGUCAAGCUCAUCGAGAGGCUGACUUACCACAUGUAUGCAGAUCCCAACUUUGUUCGGACUUUUCUCACAACAUAUAGAUCCUUCUGUAAACCUCAAGAGUUGCUGAGUCUGCUAAUAGAAAGAUUUGAAAUUCCAGAGCCUGAGCCAACAGAAGCUGAUCGUAUUGCUAUGGAGAACGGAGACCAGCCUCUUAGUGCAGAGUUAAAAAGAUUUAGGAAAGAGUACAUUCAGCCUGUGCAGCUACGAGUAUUAAAUGUGUGUCGACACUGGGUAGAACACCACUUCUAUGACUUUGAAAGAGAUGCUGAUCUUCUGCAACGUUUGGAGGAAUUCAUUGGAACAGUAAGAGGCAAAGCGAUGAAGAAAUGGGUUGAAUCAAUCACAAAGAUAAUCAACCGGAAAAAGCAGGCACAAGCCAUUGGGCCAAGUCACAACAUUACUUUUGAGAGCCCGCCCCCGGCAAUUGAAUGGCACAUAAGCAAACCAGGACACACAGAGACUUUUGACUUGCUCACUUUGCAUCCAAUAGAAAUUGCUCGGCAGCUCACUUUACUUGAGUCAGAUUUUUACAGAGCUGUGCAGCCAUCUGAACUAGUUGGAAGUGUGUGGACAAAGGAAGAUAAAGAAAUUAAUUCUCCCAACCUUCUCAAAAUGAUAAGACAUACAACUAACCUGACUUUGUGGUUUGAAAAAUGCAUUGUAGAAACAGAAAACCUAGAGGAAAGAGUAAUUGUAGUGAGCCGGAUAAUUGAGAUCCUGCAAGUUUUUCAAGAGCUAAACAACUUUAAUGGUGUCCUUGAGAUUGUCAGUGCUAUGAACUCCGCAGCAGUGUAUAGGUUGGAUCACACAUUUGAGCAAAUUCCAAGUCGCCAGAAGAAGAUUUUAGAAGAAGCUUAUGAGCUGAGUGAGGAUCAUUAUAAGAAAUACUUGGCAAAACUCAGGUCCAUUAAUCCUCCUUGUGUGCCUUUUUUUGGGAUUUACUUAACUAACAUUCUGAAAACAGAAGAAGGCAACCCUGAAUUUCUAAAGCGACAUGGGAAAGAACUUAUAAACUUCAGCAAGAGGAGAAAGGUAGCUGAAAUAACAGGAGAGAUACAGCAGUACCAGAACCAGCCUUAUUGUUUGAGGGUGGAAUUUGAUAUCAGGAGAUUUUUUGAAAACCUGAAUCCAAUGGGAAACAGCAUGGAGACAGAAUUUACAGAUUAUCUGUUCAACAAGUCACUAGAGAUAGAGCCACGAAAUGUCAAGCCUCCACCAAGAUUUCCCAAAAAAUACAGCUAUCCUCUCAAGUCUCCAGGUGUUCGUCCCUCUAAUCCAAGACCAGGUACCAUGAGACAUCCUACACCACUGCAACAGGAGCCAAGGAAAAUUAGUUACAGCCGCAUCCCAGAGACUGAAACUGAAACUACAGCAUCUGCACCAAACUCUCCCCGAACACCUUUGACCCCUCCCCCUGCUUCUGCCACUUCGAGUAACACAGAUGCCUGCAGUGUGUUUGACUCUGAUCCUUCAAGUCCAUUUCAUGCAAGAUCUGCUUCUGUGUCUUCCAUAAACUUUACCAAAAAUUCAGAUGAAGCUCAUGUUCCCCCUCCGGUUCCUCCACGAAGAAGACCAGAGUCUGCCCCAGCUGAAUCCUCCCCAUCAAAAAUUACUUCUGCGCACCUGGACAGCCCACCAGCAAUCCCUCCUAGGCAACCAACCUCUAAAGUGUAUUCACCAAGGUACUCAGUACCUGACCGGACCUGCAUCUCUGACCCCCCUGAAAGCCCUCCUGUGUUACCACCACGAGAACCUGUGCGAACUCCAGAUGUUUUCUCUAGCUCACCACUACACCUCCAGCCUCCACCACUGGGGAGAAAAAGCGAACUUGGUAACACCUUUUUCCCAAACAGUCCAUCACCAUUUACUCCCCCUCAGACACCUUCUCCACAUGUAGCACGGAGGCAUCUUCCAUCACCACCUUUGAUACCACAAGAUGUGGACCUCCAUUCUGUUGCUGGACCACCUGUUCCUCCACGACAAAGCACUUCUCAACAUAUCCCAAAGCUUCCUCCAAAAACUUACAAAAGGGAGCACACACACCCAUCGAUGCAUCGAGACGGACCACCAUUGCUGGAGAAUGCCCAUUCCUCCUGAACUAUCCCUUGCGCUGGGAGUCGCGUUUUCCUGGUGCUACGUCUGUUGCUGGCAAUGGAUGCACUGAACCUGGUGGUGCCAAGGAGUUGGGAUGUGUAUGCCAAACACUAAAAACUCUCCAAUGGAUUGGAAAUGCAGUGUACAGAAAUGGGAUUGCAAAAAAAGACGUUCUAGUGGAAAAACCGGUUAACUUGCUAUUCUUGUUUUAGUAUGCAGGACAUUGUUCUAAAGUAGUUGGACAACUGAUUGUACCAGAAAACAGACUUGAGGGACUUCUUUGGCCAAUGAGCAGAGACUGUGUUUGUGUAGUGAUCAAUAAUGUCCAGUACAGGAAAGAAAAGACUCUGGUAUCCAUCGGUUCCUUACAAUGGCACAGUUUAUGGAAUGAAAACAUUAUGCACUUUUUAAAAAUCUCAAACAGGGAAGUUUAUAUCCUCCUUAAUUUUUUCUUUGCUUUACUCCCUGCUUUAAAAUACCUUCCUAAAAUUAUGAGAAGGACUGUGAGGAAGAUCUGUGGUACCUAACUGAGCUAGGAUUAAGGCCAAGCACUGUAUUGCAGUCCUGUUUACAAGUUGUUACAAUGAGUGGUAGGGGGUACCUAGGCUUCACCAAAGAGGUACUUUAUUAUUAUUUUCUGAAAUAUUAUGGUGCCAGUUCAAAAAUAAAUUUUUGCCAGGAAGCAUAAUGUCUAGUUAUUGCUUUCUUUAGAUAGAGGAGAUUAAAGUCUUACAUCAUUAAGAGGACAGCAAGGGUUUUUUUUUAAAAGCAGCACUAUCAUCCGAAGUGAAUAUACUAGUACAUUUAGGAGACUGUUAAUCUCUGCUAGGUUAUGUCACAUUCUUUUUAAGGUUUACUGAUAAUCCAUUUCAUGGCUAGUAGCUAUUCUUUUUCAGUCAUGCCAUGAAAACAGGCACUUGUGAAAAGGAGCACUCACUGGUAAACUUCCAUAGCUAUUGUCAUGUUUUACUAACAGUAGAUUAAUCAGCAUACAUAGAAUUGCCUUGCAGUUGCAUAAAUCAUGUGUAUAUAGUGAAGGUUGCAUAAAUAUACUUGCAGAUUGUUUUUAAUUUAAUUGAAAUAAAGAUACAGAUAUGUUUGGCUGACAUACGUUAAAUUAUUACACAGACAGAUGUACAACUCAGUUUUUCAGUUAAGCACUGAAGGGGAUAAAAGCACAUGUUGUGGUACGUAUUUUUCCUAGUUCAGUGUAUGUAUUUUAAUAAUAAGAGUCUAAAGAUAAAUCGGUUUUGGCAUGUAUUACAAAGUAAUAAUUUAGUAAUACCUGAGAAGCUGGGUUACUCCCAAGGUAAAUUAUUAUAUGUUAUAAAAUUUCUCACACCUGCUGUAUGACACUUGUUAGAAAAAUUCAAACUUGUAUUAACCGUUGCAGUAGCUUUCUGUGUCCAAAAUACACAUGUACUGGUAUAAGUAUCAUGACAUGGAUUAUCCAUAAACCUGUGUACUGCUCUUCAACUCUAGACAAUACUGUGACAGUAAUGCAUGGCAGUUACUGAAGAAACGAAGCUCUAUAAUCUCCAGUGCAGUAUGUAUAUGAAGUGUAAAGUAUCUCAUCUUCAGUUAAUAUGGCUCAUGAAAAAAAGUAAAAUCAUACAACAUUUCCUUUUUGGAAGAAGAAUACAUUUCAGCGCCUUGGAAAGCUGUGUCAUUAGAGGUGGUGUUAGUUGAAUGAUGGUGGAAAUCACCAUUUUUAAUGCUUUUUGCACUGCCAUUGAGCAGUGCCCCUUGGUCCUCUAGUGUGGUCAUUACAUUUCAGAAGGUUCUCUGAUUUCGUGAACAACAGUUUUCAUCAUAGUCAAAUGCUGAAAUUUGUCAGUUCUAUUCCUUCUUUGAUGUCUUUAACAACUUUGUUUUGAAAUAUUUUCCUGGCAAAAGAAGAAAAAGUGAAGAUCUCUAAACCUUGGCUUCAGAAGAGAACACUACAUGGGAGCUUUGUGAAAACCCUGAAGCUACAGGAUGCAUAUUUAGGUUAUCGGUCCUUUGGAUAUAAAUGCCGUGAUAGGCCUACUGUUAGCAAUGUCAUCUAAAUUAUUAGCUCAUCAGCAGAUUACCAGGGAAAACUCCUUAAAUUUAGAAUUUCUGACCUUCUGUACACUAUUUCUAUUUUGCAGUCAAGGCAGACUAGGCAGAAGGAAUGAUCUAGUGGGUAGGUUGCUCAGCUAGAAGGAGAGACCUCACAUGGACCCUGCUAAUCAGUGAUUUCUUGAAUGUCGGUAGGUCUCUGUUUCCCUUUGUGAAAUCGGGAAAGCUGUUUCGCAUCUCUGUGGUUGCGGAUAAAAGUCCUUUACUGGUGAGGUACUUGGACAACAGGUAAUAAUGGUCACCAUGCAAGAACCUAACUUAAACAUGCUUUGGAGCUCAGCAGAAUGGGUUAGUCAUACAGUGCACAAAUCAUGGUGAUGUCUCAGCUGCAAAGAGGAAGGUCAGGAUGAGAAUCAAACCUGUUGCAUUUAGAAGUUUUGAGUAUAACUGCUAAGGCACUGUUUUGUGUAAUGACAUGUUUAUUUGUGUUAAUUAUUUAGUCUGGAAUUACUUCUUAUUUGGACCUUGUUUACAUUAGUGACAAUGCUUCUCACAUAGAAAAUGAAAUCAUUUUAAUGAUGCUGUUUCCUUGGUAAAAUUACGCUGGAUGGUCUGGCGUGGCCUGGGAUGAUGGACAAUGAAACAUGCUUGUUUGGAGGCUGAGUUGCUGUACUACUCUAGAGUGCUGAUGUGAAAGAAAAAAAAAAAAAAUCAGCCUAAACAGCUGCAAACUGCAGUCAACAUUAUAGAGUUCAGCAGAACUUUAUAGGCGAACUUACAGGUGAACAGGUGAACUUUAACAAUUUGUGCUGUUAUACAUCAAGGUUUCUUCUUUAUAUAUAGUCUAGUGCAACAGUGGAACAUAACCUGGGUUUGUUCAUUUUCUUCCAGAGUGUCAUGAUUGUGUGUUAGCUCAGAAAAACCCUCUGGGAAUUUGGAAGGAUUCCAAGUGCAAGAUCCUGCACCUGGAUCGGGGCAACCCCUGGUGUCAAUACAGGCUGGGGAAUGGCGAGCAGGUCUGCCGAGAAGGACUUGGGAGAACUGGUGAACAUGAGCUGGCAAUGUGCACUCACAACCCAGAAAGCCAACCACAUCCUGGGCUGCAUCAAAAGCGGUGUGGCCAGCAGGGAGGAGAUUCACCCCCUCUGCUCUGCCCUGGUGACACCCCAUGUGGAGUACUGCAUGCAGCUCUGGGGCCCCCAACAUAAGAAGGACAUGGACCUGUUGGAGCAGGUCCAGAGGAGGCCACAAAGAUGAUCCGAGGGCUGAGCACCUCUCCUUUGAAGACAGGCAGAGAGUUGGGGGUGUUUAGCCCCAACUGUUUGUUGGAGAAGAGAAGACUCCAGGGAGACCUUAUCGCGGCCCUUCAAUACUUAAAGGGGGCUUAUAAGAAAUAGGGGGACAAACUUUUCCGUAAGGCCUGUUGUGAUAGACCAAGGGGUAACAGUUUUAAACUGAAAGAAGGAAGAUUUAGACUAGAUAAGAAAGAUAUUUUUUACAAUGAGGGUGAUGAGACACUGACCCAGGUUGCCCGAAAAGGUAGUAGAUUCCCGAGCCCCAGAAACAUUCAAGGUCAGGUUGGAUUGGGCUUUGAGGAACCUCAUCUAGUUGAAGAUGUACCUCCUCAUGGCAGGGGGGUUGGACUAUAGAUGGCUUUUAAAGGUCCCUUCCAACCCAAACUAUUCUAUGAUUUUGCAAGUGCCAUGCAUUUAUGUCUGUUCAGCAUGCAGCUUGGAAAGUCAGCUAUUGUGCUGUCAGGUGACCCCAAGGUACAUGCUGUUGUCAUGAUGUUCAGCAGCCCAGGCAAAGUUUUUCAAUAACUGUCUGCUAAUGGAGAACAUCAUCCUACUUCGGGAUCAAUACCAUCCUCAAGAAGCCAUCUCCAGUGUGGGCUAACCUGUUUCCCUAAUAUGCCCCUCUUAAAUUGGGGGCAGAGGUCUGUCUCAGAUCAUUCAAGAUUUAAAAUGACAUCGUGGGAUUUUUAAUUAUUUUUCUUAUGUGUGUAUCUUAAAUUAGACUUCCUGUUGAACCGGGUCUGAUUCCAGCUUGGUGAUUUCACUGGAGGUACCGCUAUUGAAGGUAGUAGAUUAUUGUGCUUCAGGGAGAAGGUUUUAUUUUGUUACCUACAAGGAAGUUUCUUUUCAGCUUGAAGAGGUGCUGGAACAAAUUUGCCUCGCAGCAGGCUAUGUGCAACACCGGUGCGGUGUAAUAAGCCUCAGUGACCUUCUCUGUGGCUGUUGUCUCAACCUAGUGUGGCAUUUUAGAGGCAGCCUCUACUACUUGUAUUGCUAGCACUGCUGAAAUUUAAGCUCAAUACAUUCAUGAAUGUUUGUCUCACAAAUUCUAUGAAAGUUAAACAUAAUGUUUCUUAGUACUUUGCUGCUGUGAGCAGUGCAAUUUGCUGCAGCACGUCAUAGUCCCUCCUUGACUUGUUCCUUGCUGCUGGUUCCCAGCCAGCAAGGAGAGACUUGUUCAAAAAGACUGUUUUAAGAUGAUAUUAAAAAGUUUGCAAAUUCUAAUGGGUUGUCCCCCCCACAUCAAAAUACUGUUUUUCAGUUGUUGAAUUGUCAUUUCAAAAUGUAGAGGAUGCAUGGGCUGAAGCCUUUUUAGCUCUUAUUCAUUAAGGAGAGAAAUCUGUGGCCCAAUAUAGUUGUAAAAACAAAAGCCAUUUUAACUUCAUUUGUAAAUUCGAUGCCUUAUUUUCCAUUAAAAAAAAAAUCCUUAAGUGCAUUUUUCUAUUAACAGCAAAUUUCCCUUUUGCCUAAAAUAGUGCAUUAAGUAGCCAACUGCUGCAGCAUUACAAGGCAAAGUAAAGCCUUUUUUUUUUUAAAAAGUCACUUUUUUUUUUUUUUUACUUUCUAGCCAGUGAAUGUGAAAUCCUAUACUAGAUGGCUGAAAAACUGAAAGGGAAAAAUAAAAUAAAAAAACCAUAUCAUGCCAGAUGCAUGACAGUUUUAGUAGCUGCCAAAUGUGCCUUUUAUCAAAGAACAUCUAAUAUUUUUAAAAAGAAGGGAAGCCAAAGGUGGACAAUCAGGGCUGCAUGUUGCUAGAAUUGCUUUGGAGAAAUUUGUUCAAAUCUACUUUGGAAUAAGCCUUUUUUUGUUUGUGAAAAAGAAGAAAUUUUAGGUUCUGGUAAGUUUGUUCCAGUAUGUGUGUACAUUGGCCUUUGUUUGACGGCACGGGUACUUGCCAAAAUGAGUGAAUGUUAAAAGCUAUGUCAGUCCAGUUGUAAAAAGAAAAACCGGAGAAAGAGAAGGGGUAGAUUUAGCUGGCACAUAUGAUGACCUUUGUAUGUAACUGUCUGUAGGUGAUACCUGUAUGCUGUGUCUUCAGUGGUAUUCAGAUUGCAUUUAAGUGAAAAUUUAAUAGUGGCUGUUGUCUUUUGGCAUUGCAAGAUAUGUUCUAAUGAUAAUAAAAAAAAAAAAAAAAAAAAA